ACGCUCGACACCUACGGGGGCAGCAGUGGGGAAUAUUGCACAAUGGGGGAAACCCUGAUGCAGCGACGCCGCGUGAGCGAAGAAGUAUUUCGGUAUGUAAAGCUCUAUCAGCAGGGAAGAAACUGACGGUACCUGACUAAGAAGCACCGGCUAAAUACGNGCCAGCAGCCGCGGUAAUCUGAGCGGGCUGGCAAGGC
rnacentral:rRNA from 1 species